GGAGGGAUGACAGAGCGGACGAAUGUACCGGUCUUGAAAACCGGCGUGGGCUUGCCCACCGUGGGUUCGAAUCCCACUCCCUCCGCCG
rnacentral:tRNA from 1 species